CAAAGGCUUGGUCCUGACUUUACUAUCAACUUUAGCUAAACUUACACAUGCAAGUAUCCGCACCCCUGUGAGAAUGCCCUACAGUUCCCUGCCCGGGAACAAGGAGCUGGUAUCAGGCACAUUAAGUUAGCCCACGACACCUUGCUUAGCCACACCCCCAAGGGAACUCAGCAGUGAUAAACAUUAAGCCAUAAGUGAAAACUUGACUUAGUCAAAGCUAAGAGGGCCGGUAAAACUCGUGCCAGCCACCGCGGUUAUACGAGAGGCCCAAGUUGAUGGCCCCCGGCGUAAAGAGUGGUUAAGAUAAACUAUAUACUAAAGCCGAAUACCCUCAAAGCUGUUAUACGCACCCGAGGAUAAGAAGUACAAUCACGAAAGUGGCUUUACACCACCUGAACCCACGAAAGCUUCGGUACCACCUGUGCUUAGAACAGCAUGAUGUGCCUAGCCCUAAACAUCGAUAGCACCUUACACCCGCUAUCCGCCCGGGAACUACGAGCAUAACUCGCAUGACCCAAGGACUUGGCGGUGCUUUAGAUCCACCUAGAGGAGCCUGUUCUAGAACCGAUAACCCCCGUUAAACCUCACCCUUCCUUGUUUUCCCCGCCUAUAUACCGCCGUCGUCAGCUUACCCUGUGAAGGUCCUAUAGUAAGCAAAAUUGGCACAGCCCAAAACGUCAGGUCGAGGUGUAGCGUAUGGAAGGGGAAGAAAUGGGCUACAUUCCCUAAUGCAGUGAAUACGAACGAUGCACUGAAAUGUGCAUCUAAAGGAGGAUUUAGCAGUAAGCAGGAAAUAGAGUGUCCCGCUGAAAUUGGCCCUGAAGCGCGCACACACCGCCCGUCACUCUCCCCAAGCCUAAAAAUGCAAAUAACUAAAACCCUAUAAUCGCAAAGGGGAGGCAUUUCGGGUAACAUCGUAAGUGUACCGGAAGGUGUACUUGGAAAAAU
rnacentral:ncRNA from 1 species